ensembl:lncRNA uncharacterized LOC114450888
GUCUCCAAAAGCAUCUAUAGAGGGACUGUUUAAACGAAUAGUUUUUGUUCUGUACUGUAUAACAUUAGCUAAUAGCGUGUGUGUCUGCAUACAGACAUCGCUCUACCAUCAGACAAGUCAGUGGGUUGGAUUCUUUUUUUGUGUGUGACACCUGCUUCCUGAAGCAAUGCUGCGAAAUCAAGCAGCAUGUUUCCUGUUGUCGAACUUUAUACCUCGUACGAUGACAGGUUGUUUGAGCAGAUUAAACAUGUUUCUUCUGCUGAUCUGUUGGAUUAUAACAGGAAUAAUGGCUGAGGAUUCAACAUUUAUACACUAUGGACUGAAACACAGCUCAGUGUGCCUUCAUGUGCAAAAAAACCCACCAUACACACGCGGUCAGUGGAAGUUUGGGAAAACAUUCAUUGCUUCUGAUGCAGAAAUGAAUCCCACCUAUACAGCAAAAGUUGUUUAUCGUGGAAACGGGUCCUUGUGUAUUAAUGAGCUGACUGACAGAAAUGCCGGCACCUAUGAAUUCAGCUUCUUUUCUAACUGGACUGAGUUAACAGAGACACACAUGGUCAUUGUUGAAGAAAAGGUUCCUGAACCGGUCAUUAGAAUGUCAGGGCUUCAGUUCAACCUGUCAGCUGGACUCUGUAACUUCACAGUGAACUGCUCCGUCCAACACGAGUGGCUGUCGUCUGUCUGUGAAGCAGAUGGUUGCAGAACAUCUCAGAGGUCAUUCAGCAAAGUCAACAUCACCAUCUCCACCAACAACAGAAGUGUGGUCUGCAGGGGCAACAACCAUGUCAGCACAAAUAAUGUUACUGGAAACAUAGAUGUGUGCUUCAGUAAAUCUGACCCUGAACCAGAAGAGGAACCCCAACAUCACAAUGUCAUAAUAAUACUUGUUGCCAUCUGUGUAUUCCUAUGUGGAUGUGUGGUCUUUGUGGUGAAGUGCCGCUCGCCACGAACAUGCUAUAAAAAGGUAAGCUGUGUUUCUAAUGUAAAUAGAUCUUUGUCAUGUAAGGGGAUUUCUGAUCAGGAUGUAGAGCUGCUGUGUGUGUUAAUAGAUUACAUGUAAUGUUUACUGCAUUAUUCACAGGAACAUACUGCUCAACCCAGAGCCUCGACAUCUUCCAGCCACUCUGAGGCUUCAUAUGAGUACGUGGACAUCCUGCUCAGUGCAAAGUCAGAAGGUGGACACGGUGUACAGCAUUUUACAGAGGCCGAAGGAUACAAAGGGAAACGAGAACAUACAAGUUGCUGUACCUUCACCCCAGUGGAGACCCAGCACCCCGUGCAAGUUGACACUGUGUACAGGAUGCUGAAGAAGCCAAAAAGAGGUCAGAGCACCACCUAGAGGACCAAACAGAGUAGUACAAGACCAGUGAAGUGAAAGACCAUACAAGUCAAAUCUUCAUCUGUACAUUUUGUACAGAUGAAGAUUUGUUUGUUGGUUUAUUUGUUUGUUGAAGCCUUUUUUCAGUGGUUCCCUAAAUUCCAAAUAGGUUGCCUAGUCCAAUAUGACAGGCACAAGCAGCCAAAGAGUUCAACAUUCCAUUAAGAUACAGUAUGGAAUAUUAACCCCCACAAUGUAGUGUGGAUCUUGCACCUAUUUUACUGAAAGAGUGUCUUUAUUGUUUUGUUUUAUAAUUGCUAUUUUUGUCUGAACAUGGACCUCCAGACCUUACCUUCAGUUGAUUCUGUUUGGACUGUUUAAACUCCGUAUUUUAACUUCGUGUUUUUUUUCUCUUCACUGUGGUCUUUGCUGUAUUCUAUUUUUUUUAAAUCCAUUAUAUUUUUAAAUACUUUGAUCGACUGCUGUUUGCUGAAUUAGCCCUGUGUGAAUCCACAUGGCACGCACUUCAAUGUAACACAUGCUUAUUUAUUUAUAUAGAUCUUGGCCUGUACUAUGUGGUGGUGUAGAUGGAAGGUCUUUCCAUACAAUGACCAAAAGGGGGCGACAGACUACAGCUUUGUUAGGAACACCUUUAAAAGCCAGUCAGCCACUCUUGUUCAUUUUUGUUUAAAUAAUUAUGUAGUCACAUUAAAUACAUUUGAAUGAAUCUUGAUUUUGUUGAAGGCAGCUGAAAUAUCCUCCCUUCAGAACAUUCAUGUUAGGUUUUGUUGUUUAUCGGCUGUCAGUUUGUUAUGAAGGAGAUGGAGCCACAGAGGUCUGGGUGUCUUUGGUUGACCCUGAUGGACUCACUUCAUUGUGUACUUUAGUUUGUAAUGAUGGACUGCGUGUACAUAGACAAAGUUUGAAUGAAUAAAACAGUCUGUGUUUUAAAGAAUGUUCCA